rnacentral:misc_RNA from 1 species
UUUCUGUAGGUGAACCUGCAGAAGGAUCAUUAGUGAAUUAAACGGGAUUGAAUUCGUUCAUCCCAAUUCUUUUAUCUAAACCCGUCAUCGUUUGGGCAACCGAGCAUGACAAAAACCUUUUUUUAUUAAAACUCGUUUUUAAUAUAAAGUCAGUGUUGACUCUAAACCCACAAACAAAACAAAUAAAGAAAACUUUUGACAACGGAUCUCUUGGUUCUCCCAUCGAUGAAGAACGCAGC